CGCCGAAAGGGUCAAAUGUACUCGUAAUUUAAACGCGUAUUUUUGAUCGGACACCCGUUUAGGAAGCGCCUGCAGCUGUUUCAUAAGCGGCUGCAGCCGUAAAUGUGCAGGCGAAAGUUACACAUGAAUGUACGCGUUAGUUAACGCUUUCAGGCGUUAAAUAAACGCCUGUAUAUUUACACGUGCAAUUGCAGGCGUUAAAUAAACGCCUGUAUAUUUACACGUGCAAUUGCAGGCGUUAAAUAAACGCCUGUAUAUUUACACGUGCAAUUGCAGGCGUUAAAUAAACGCCACAUGCAAAUCACUGCCCACAAUUUCCCUAGCUCCUCCUGCAGUUAGCUGGGCUAGUGUGAUUGGAUUCUUCCCUGCAUUUUCAAGUACCAGCUCCUCCCCACUGUAGAAGCGGAAGAUUUCGAAACAAGUUUAGUCCAGCACAGUCAGAAGUUUGAAGGAAGAUGGCAAGAAGAAACUUUCUACGACACUGUAAGCAGACUCUUAAUGACUGCACUCGGCUUUUGUUAUCGGAUAACACUGGACACGACGACCUUCAGUCCACGUUGACAAGGAUGGAAACAAUGCAGCGAAGCCUAGAGUGGGCAAAGGGGUACGCUCUUAAAUGUUGCUUCAGCAGACGGCCUGAUAGCUGAAGUGUCCGAGCUCAUGCAGGAAAGUCGCACCCAUGGUCGGCAUGCACAACCAGGUGGGAACCAUUUCAGUGGGGCCAGUUCCGGUUACCAGGCUCCAUUGACUUGGACUGGAGCUAGAGGUGCUCCUCAUUAUCACAUCACCGGAGAGCAACUGAGGGGUCUGAUGAUAGAUGGCAGAUAUUCUCCACAUGUUCCAUUCUACACUCAAACCACAUCUAAGGCACUUUGCAUUAACCUGAGGGCAGCUGCCUUCCCAUCAAUGUCGCAGAGGCUGCACAGAAGGUACAGUGUUGCUGCUCUGAAUUCUUUAUGACACAUCGAUGGAAACUACAGACUAAAGGUGGAGGAUAGUCAUCCAUGGUGGCAUUGAUGGUUACAGCUUCCUUGUGUUUCUCCACGCUUUCAGCAACAAGUGCAGCAUUACUAAAUGCUGAGGCCAGACAGUCCGUCCAGGCUUAGAACAGGUUCUGGUAGAAGCUAGAUUUCUGUGAUUGCCACCUAUUGAAUUGGAUAACCAUGGACUGGAACAGAUAAUCAAUAUCUUCCUGCAGUAGUGAAUGUAAGUUACUGCUCAACAUUAAAUUAUAACGAGAAGAAGUGAAUGUAGCUUGUUUCAUAACAAGAUAGGUUGAUGGAGUGAUAUGGA